GAUGAACGCUGGCGGCGUGCUUAACACAUGCAAGUCGAACGGAAAGGCGCCUUUGGUGGUACUCGGGUGGUGGACGGGGACGUAACACGUACGUAACCUUCCCCUGACUAUGGGACAACGUCAGGUAAGUGGGGCCAGUACUGGAACGGAAUCAUAGUUUCAAGCGGGGGGUUGGAAAGCUUAGGAGGGUCUUGCUGGACCCGCGGUGUAUAAGCUCGUUGGAAUGGCAGUGGCUUACCAAGGCAACGUAGCAUGGCCGACCUGAGAGGGCGACCGGCCACACUGGAACGGAGACACGGUCCAGACUCCUACGGGAGGCAGCAGUAGGGAAUCUUCCGCAAUGGGCGAAAGCCUGACGGAGCAACGCCGCGUGAGUGAUGAAGGUCUUCGGAUCGUAAAACUCUGUUAUUAGGGAAGAACAUAUGUGUAAGUAACUGUGCACAUCUUGACGGUACCUAAUCAGAAAGCCACGGCUAACUACGUG
rnacentral:rRNA from 1 species